CUUUGUGUUACUGAGAAGACAGGAUCACAGACCUCCCUGACAUAUGCCUGGGUCAUCAGCCUGCGUCUCUGUACUCCUCCUCCUUUUACACUGUAUCUUGAAACAGAUCCAUGCAGAACAGAGGGGGUAUAUAAACAUGUAUUUGGCUCCUGUUUAUAAAAAUUCCUACUUAAAGGCCACCAUGCAAGAACUAGCAACUUGUAGGCACUGGUGA
rnacentral:lncRNA from 1 species